rnacentral:rRNA from 1 species
CGGUAGGGGGCAAGCGUUGUCCGGAAUCAUUGGGCGUAAAGCGCGUGUAGGCGGUCCGGUAAGUCGGCUGUGAAAGUCCAGGGCUCAACCCUGGGAUGCCGGUCGAUACUGCCGGACUAGAGUUCGGAAGAGGCGAGUGGAAUUCCCGGUGUAGCGGUGAAAUGCGCAGAUAUCGGGAGGAACACCAAUGGCGAAGGCAGCUCGCUGGGACGUUACUGACGCUGAGACGCGAAAGCGUGGGGAGCAAACAGGAUUAGAUACCCUGGUAGUCCACGCCGUAAACGAUGGGCACUAGGUGUGGGAGGUGUCGACUCCUCCCGUGCCGGAGCUAACGCAUUAAGUGCCCCGCCUGGGGAGUACGGCCGCAAGGCUA